rnacentral:rRNA from 1 species
AGCGAACGCUGGCGGCAGGCCUAACACAUGCAAGUCGAACGAACCUUUCGGGGUUAGUGGCGGACGGGUGAGUAACACGUGGGAACGUGCCUUUAGGUUCGGAAUAACUCAGGGAAACUUGUGCUAAUACCGAAUGUGCUCUUCGGGGGAAAGAUUAAUCGCCUUUAGAGCGGCUCGCGUCUGAUUAGCUAGUUGGUUGAGGUAAUGGCUCACCAAGGCGACGAUCAGUAGCUGGUCUGAGAGGAUGAUCAGCCACAUUGGGACUGAGACACGGCCCACACUCCUACGGGAGGCAGCAGUGGGGAAUCUUGCGCAAUGGGCGAAAGCCUGACGCAGCCAUGCCGCGUGAAUGAUGAAGGUCUUAGGAUUGUAAAAUUCUUUCACCGGGGACGAUAAUGACGGUACCCGGAGAAGAAGCCCCGGCUAACUUCGUG